GAUUCGCGCAAACACCAUCCAGUUCUCACCGAAGCCACAAAUAGAACAAUGAAUUUCACUAACGUAAACAUUGCGAUUAUGCUCCGUAAAUCCUCCCACUAUGACGACAUACGUUGAACGACCCACUUUAGAAUUUUUAUGCGGUAUUUUGGGUGAUAAGACGGAAUAAAAACAAACGCGAAACACAACAAAGGCGCUUAUCGCUUCUCGUACAAUCAACCUUCCUCGAAGCUCCCGUUCGUCACGAAGCCUUUGCGCUGUUUGAUUGUGUUUCUGUUAUGACCUCGGUUCUCUCCUGACUGGUGAUGCCAGAUGAUUUUUUUUCAACAUCUAUACACAGCACGAAAAAGUCUCCACAUGUUUUCACAAUCAUUUUAAGAAUACUUAGGCUCAUUUGAUUAUGGUUGAAGUGCAGAAAGAAAAUAUAGAAUGAAUGAAUCUUAUUCAACGAUAGACAAUUUUCCAAUCCACUGCAUUUAAAAUGUUGGACUAAAUGUUUAUAAAAGCCUAAAGCGGUCCUUACACGAUCAGUAGCAUUAACAUUAUCAGUAAUACUAGCAAGAAUCACUCCAUCACCAGGGUACGUUUAUGACAAGGUAAACUGGACUCGAAGUGUGUAACGACACGAUUCACUUAUAAACUCUCAAUUAUGACAUCUUAACUUUGACGGAAAGCUGCGAUCGCAAAGCAAUUCAUAACAAGUGUUUGUGUUUACCUUUUUUGUUACCUUUUUUGAAAAUACGUCAAUAAUAAGUGAGAUAGUAGAGUUAGUGAACCAUUAAAGUUGAAACAACGGAACUAGUGCUCAGGAUGUGUUGUUCCUGUGCUGCUGUGCUAUCGAUGACUGGGAUGUACAAUGUCGUCGAAAACUGAUACGAACAGUUGCUCCUACUGUCAGAAAGGCAAACGAUUCUCAUGCCUCGGGAAAUUAAAACCGGAAUGUUCGUCGAAAUGUCUUGAUUGACACAAAGCAGGAGCUGAACCCAUUAAAAACAUCCGUAGCAACUUCCCCUAGGUUUUAAUUAGAAAGAAAACCUGAUUGGAUUAUCUUUACGCUGCAAUGAAUAAAUAUAUACAUUAAGCUAAAAUACCAUAGAAAUACAUUAAUUUAGGCAAACUUAUAAUACAGUCCCAUGAUACUUGCAAAGCUAACACGUCACAGCCUCACUAUUACUGAUGCACUAGUGAUUCCAGACUACCUUGUCAUAAACGUACCCUGUGAGAUCAUACUCAAUUUUAUCCUUUUAUAAUUUUGAAUAUGUGACUACACUCAUUUUUCUCUUCUUACAUAUUACUUGGAAAUUCUUGCAAAUUGAAAAAACAU